CAGGUACCCUUAGCUACUAUGGCAGUGUCCUGAUACAGCAUAAGAUACCGACCCUUCAAUGAUGGAUGUUGUGAAAGCCAGCCUCGUGGACCACAGGCACCCUGAGAGGGAGGAUCAUGUGUCCACCCUUGUUUCCUCCACUGUCUGGAGCUGAGCCUGGAGCCCUCAUGGAAUAUUACAGAAUGGACAUAGGAGGGAAAGAACUGCUGUAUGCAAUGACAGCUUCCCUUGGAAAAAGCCUCUCCUUCAGUCACUAUUGUCCCAGUAAUGACAAGAGUAAUAUGUUAGACUUUUGUCUUAGUCAGGUGAAUGUUCAACAAAGAAGUAAAUCCAUGUGGCAGCAAGUUUGAGAUUCCGAGUCACAAGAGACCAUUUGGCCCGGAGACGGCAGCAGGUCCCUGUCAAACACAGCUUCUCAAGAUGGCUGCCUGCCCGACACAGACUGAGCCACGAUGGGCGGAGCUUGCGGUAUGGAUUUUCCUGUGGAGCCACCUGCCCGGAAGGGUCCCAGAGAUCGUUUCAGGGGGUCCACAGAAGUGCCAAGGCGCUCACUGGCAACUUGAAAUUAGAGCUGAGAUUGACUUGGUGUUCCCGUGAUGUGGGUUUCAAGUCUGGCUGAAAUCAAAACUGCCUUGGGGGGCAUGCCUGGGAAUUUGCUAUUUUGUCUUGCAUAAACUUCUGAUAGUCA